AAAUUAGAGACGCAUGCUUAAAAAAAAAAAGAAUAAAUUUGGAAGGCCAACUUCCCGCGUUUUGCCGUUACAAUUUGUCUCCAAGUCAACAAUUUUGUCCACUUUUUUUAUGAAUGGCUACAUGCCUGGUACAACUCCCCACUCCGGCGGAGACCGAAGGGCCUACUACCUCCGGCUUAUCGCCGCCGCCUCUUCCCUCUUUCAUCUCCGCCAAAUCCUUUCCCACGCCAUCAUUUCCGGCCACCACCCUGACCUGCCCACUACUACUAAGCUCAUCCACCGCCACUCCGACCUCUCCAAACCGCCUUCCUCCGCUCUUCCUCUCGCGCUUUUCAAUUCUCAUCCCCAACCUGAUCUCUUCCUCCUCAACGUUCUUCUACGCUCCCUUCCCGCGGCCUCCGCCCUCUCCCUCUUCUCCAACCUCCCCCAACGUCAUCCCCAUCUCCGCCCGGACAGCUUCACUUUCUCCUUCGCCCUUUCCGCCGCGGCUUCUCUUUCUUCUCCUUCCACCGGCCGCGCUCUUCAUGGCCAAAUCAUCUUGGCUGGCGGCCUUGACACAGAUCGUUUUAUCGGGUCCGCACUGACCGAUUUCUACUUCAAGUUUAUGCAGAUCUCCAAUGCCGAGAAGGUGUUCGAUCAAAUUCCCCAUCCGGAUACAGUUUCGUGGAACUCCCGCAUUUCAGGGCUUGUCCGCUGCUGCUCUUUCCUCAGAGCGGUAAGGGCCUUUGGGCGGAUGGUAGCGCUUGGAAAUUGCGUUGAUUCUACAACUCUGGCUGUUGUUCUCCCAGCCACGGCUGAGCUCCAGGAUCUUAUUUUGGGGAGAUCCAUGCAUUGCUUAGGGUUGAAAACAGGUAUGGAAGAUCAACCCCAUGUUGUCACCGGACUCUUAUCAUUGUACUCCAAAUGUGAUGAUAUCCCUGCUGCGGAAAUCAUCUUUGAGGAGAUUGACCAGCCUGAUAUUAUUCACUGCAACGUGAUGAUUUCUGGCUAUUCUUCCACUGGUUGUAUUCGAUCUUCAGUUGAUUUAUUCAGGGAUUUGCAGUUUUCAGGUUGGCGGCCAAAUUCCAGCACGCUUGUGGCUCUGAUCCCUGUAACUGAUCCAUUUGGCCAUGAGUGCCUCUGUAGAGAAAUUCAUGGGUUUUUGGUCAAGACUAGGCUCGAUCUGGAUUUGUUGGUAUCCACUGCCCUCACCACUGUUUAUAGUAAACUAAAUGAUAUUGAAUCAGCAAGGAAGGUUUUUGAUGCAAUGUCUGAAAAGAGCUUGGCGUCAUGGAAUGCUAUGAUAUCAGGCUAUGCACAGAAUGGCUUGACAGAGUUUGCAAUCUCCCUCUUCCAAGAUAUGCAAUCACUCAAUUUUAAGCCUAACCCUGUCACAGCUGCCAGUAUCCUCUCAGCCUGUGCGCAGCUUGGAGCUCUUACAUUGGGGAAAUGGAUCCACCAAAUAAUAAUCCAUGAGGAUCUCGAGUUAAAUGUCUAUGUAUGCACUGCACUGAUCGACAUGUAUGCAAAAUGUGGGAACAUUGUUGAAGCUCAGAGGAUAUUUAACGGCAUGGCUGAAAAAAAUGUAGUUUCCUGGAAUGCAAUGAUAUCUGGCUACGGUCUUCAUGGUUAUGGUCAUGAAGCUUUAAGGCUCUUCAGUGAGAUGCUUUCUGCACAAAUUUCUCCAACUUCUACCACAUUUCUUUCAGUCCUUCAUGCUUGUAGCCAUGGUGGAUUAGUGGAAGAGGGCCAUGAUAUCUUCCUAUCGAUGGCCCGCAAUUAUGGAGUAUGUCCGCGGGCUGAGCACUAUGCAUGUAUGGUUGAUCUCCUAGGUCGUGCUGGCCGGCUCAUUGAGGCCCUGGAUUUCAUAAGAACGGCUCCUAAGGAUGUUGGCCCUGGUGUCUGGGGUGCUUUCCUUGGUGCUUGCAAGGUCCAUAAGGUGACUAGCCUUGCAAAGUUGGCCUCAAAAAAGCUGUUUGAGCUUGAACCAGAAAAUGCUGGUUACUAUGUUCUACUCUCCAACAUUUACUCAGCCAGCCAUAACUUCCUGGAGGCCGCAGCAGUGAGAGAGGCGGCCAAGAGAAAAAAUCUUGCCAAGCUGCCUGGUUGCACUAUAAUUGAGGUGAAUGAUGUUGUUCAUAGCUUUACGGCUGGUGAUAGAUCUCACCCUCAAACCUUAGCCAUCUACUCCAUGUUGGAGAGUUUGCUAGGCAAGAUAGUGGAGGCUGGGUACCAAGCAGAGACACAAGCAGUUUUGUAUGAUGUGGAGGAAGAAGAGAAGGAACAAAUGAUAAAGAUUCACAGUGAGAAGCUUGCUAUUGCGUUUGGUCUCAUCAAUGCAAAGUCGGAAAGUGAGAUUAGAAUAAUCAAGAAUCUCAGAGUAUGCUUAGAUUGUCACAACUGGACCAAGUUCAUAUCCGUGGUUACCAAGAGGGUGAUUGUUGUCAGGGAUGCUAGUAGGUUUCACCAUUUCAGGGAUGGCAUGUGCUCUUGUCGGGACUACUGGUGAAUGCUGUUUGAAAAGCAGACUAUUUAAGGAGGCUCUAAAUAGUUUGAUAUACCUGAUCAUUUUCAAAAAAAGAAAAGAAAAAGUGGCCAUGCACAUGUACUUGUACAAGGAGAGUUUACAUCAUACCUGCAGCUCUCCUGCAAAAACUAGUAGUUCAGUGCAGUCGUCAAGCAUGGAUCUUUCUUUUCUUGCAGAAGCCAAAACUUCGGAAAACUAUUGCUACAUGAUCAACAGCCCCAAAGGAUGGAAAUCCUCACAUGCUCAUUAUUUACCAAGAAAUUCCUUAUAAUUAGCUACCCAAGACAGUAGGAAUCCAUAAUGUGCUCGCCUUUAGAGCUCUAGUUGUUCCAGAUAAUGAAAAAUGAUGUUCAUUUUCAAUAGCGGCCCAGUCUUCAAG